rnacentral:lncRNA from 1 species
CUUCAUCAAGCCACGACACCUUCUCGGCCUCGUUGUCAGAAGAGUUGUUUGCUUGGCAUUCACAAUCAACGUAUCCCCUCUCCUUUUCCUCCAGGUAUAGUCCUCUUUUUCGCUUUCUGCUUCUUUUGAUAUGGGAAGUUAUGAGAUGAUCGUUAAGAGGGCUCUAGCUUUGUGGAAUUCAGAUCUAAUUCUUUUUCCUGUAGUGGCCUUGGAUACUCUUGGAUCCACAUUUGUGCUGUCUUGUAGCACUCUUAUCGCCUUAGUGCGACCCUUUCCUGCAAUAUGCAGAUUCCAUCUCGAAUUGGCUUUGUUAGAAGCCGUCUUGUGGCAGCUUGAAAAGAAAUCUUUUCUCUCUUCCAUCGUUCAAGAUAUUCUGGUUCACUAGGGCUUUUAUAGUUCUCAUCUGGUCUUUUAUAGUUCUCUUCUCUCUUUUAAAGAGCUUAUAAUCCUCUCGAAUACUUCACUUGUGUCUAGUGGUAUUGUUAUAGGGAGCAUUGUCGUCAAGAUUGUUCUGCUUGGAGCAUAAGCGAGGAUUGUUGUUCAAGACCGUUCUCGUUCAGCUUUUGUUGACUAUUUGACUUUGGAGACUUUGUUUCCUCUUGGUGAUUCACCUUCACCCCUAUUUUUAAGUCUCCUUUGGAGCUUUGUUGUUGUUUUUGACUUGCCUCCUUACAUGAUCUCCUUGUUGGUCGUUGUUUUAGUUGAUUUGGCUCUUUGUAGCUUUGAUGUAUCCUCCGUUGGUGGAGGCUAAACUUAUCUCCUUUUGAAUGAAAUCCUUAGUUUGUCCAAAAAAAAAUUGGAGACAAUGCAAUUAA